UACAGAGGGUGCGAGCGUUAAUCGGAAUUACUGGGCGUAAAGCGUGCGUAGACGGUUAUUUAAGUCGGGUGUGAAAGCCCCGGGCUCAACCUGGGAAUUGCAUUCGAGACUGAAUAGCUAGGGUACGGUAGAGGGAAGCGGAAUUUCCGGUGUAGCGGUGAAAUGCGUAGAUAUCGGAAGGAACAUCAGUGGCGAAGGCGGUUGCCUGGAGCUUUGCUGACGCUGAGGCGCGAAAGCGUGGGGAGCGAUCCGG
rnacentral:rRNA from 1 species